rnacentral:rRNA from 1 species
CCUACGGGUGGCUGCAGUGGGGAAUACUGGACAAUGGGGGGAACCCUGAUCCAGCCAUGCCGCGUGUGUGAAGAAGGCCCUCGGGUUGUAAAGCACUUUCAGUGAGGAAGAACGCCUGGUGGUUAAUACCCAUCAGGAAAGACAUCACUCACAGAAGAAGCACCGGCUAACUCCGUGCCAGCAGCCGCGGUAAUACGGAGGGUGCGAGCGUUAAUCGGAAUUACUGGGCGUAAAGCGCGCGUAGGUGGCUUGAUAAGCCGGUUGUGAAAGCCCCGGGCUCAACCUGGGAACGGCAUCCGGAACUGUCAAGCUAGAGUGCAGGAGAGGAAGGUAGAAUUCCCGGUGUAGCGGUGAAAUGCGUAGAGAUCGGGAGGAAUACCAGUGGCGAAGGCGGCCUUCUGGACUGACACUGACACUGAGGUGCGAAAGCGUGGGUAGCAAACAGGAUUAGAUACCCUGGUAGUC